AAGAAGGAAAAAGAGGAUCCAGGGAGAGGAACUUUUCUGAGGACUGGGGUAGGGCUGAACAGCUGCAUUCGAGACUGGUGGAGGGUGGGCUGGGCAUGGGAUGCACAAAUGGAAAUUCCACUGGGUCUGCAGCUCACACAUAGGCAUGACCAGCAUAGAGAUAGAGAGGCCCCAGUGCUGCUGAGUAACUGUGAUUCCCCAGGUGAUGGCAUCAGCUGAGAAGGGAAGGAAGCCCAUGUGAGGACACUGAAGAAGGAGUGAGCAGACAAUAAGAAGCCCACAGAAGACAGAGAAGGAACAACUAGAGGGAGAAGCCAAGGCAGUUUCUCCACAGACACUACCCAAAGCAGUCCUUCACUACAGUGGCAGACAGACCUGAAAAUUUUCAUCUGAAGCAGCAGAGUGAACUGCAGAGUCAGGUCACCAACCAGUGUGGAGGCUAAAAGCGGGCCUCUUUGGGGAUUCCAGGUGGAAGUGUUGGACAUCUGUAGUAUUCCUGGUCUCAAAUCAUCCUGAUAUUCUUCAUUUUGUUAUUCACAUUGGACUAGGGCAAGGAAAUGAGUUCUGCAGGAACAAAGAUCACCACAACUGGCUCCCCUUCAACUAUGUUAGAUGGCAACUUGCCUUCAGUAUGGUGAAACACAUCAGUUAAGACUGGGGUUGUGCAUGGCAGGACUUUCUACAAGGACACCCAGUCUCCUUAAUAAACAUGAGAUGCUCUCUUUCCAGAAGUUCUCUUGCCUGACACAGCAUAGGAAGAUGCUGAACGGCCACACAGUGACCCAUUGAGAUAGAAUCUCACUAUGUUGACCAGGCUGGUCUUGAACUCUUGGCACCCAAGCGAUCCUUUUGCCUGGAAUCCCAAAGUGUCAGAUUUACUGAAGAAUAUUUCAUUGUAAUUACUUUUUAUACUUUAUAGGUCAAGAGCUCUGUUUUAAAGACAAAAUUUAUUGAAUAUACUUUUUCAAACAAA
rnacentral:lncRNA from 1 species